GAUGAACGCUAGCGGGAGGCCUAACACAUGCAAGCCGAGCGGUAUUUGUUCUUCGGAACAGAGAGAGCGGCGCACGGGUGCGGAACACGGGUGCAACCUGCCUUUAUCUGGGGGAUAGCCUUUCGAAAGGAAGAUUAAUACCCCAUAAUAUAUUGAGUGGCAUCAUUUGAUAUUGAAAACUCCGGUGGAUAGAGAUGGGCACGCGCAAGAUUAGAUAGUUGGUGAGGUAACGGCUCACCAAGUCAAUGAUCUUUAGGGGGCCUGAGAGGGUGAUCCCCCACACUGGUACUGCGACACGGACCAGACUCCUACGGGAGGCAGCAGUGAGGAAUAUUGGACAAUGGGUUAGCGCCUGAUCCAGCCAUCCCGCGUGAAGGACGACGGCCCUAUGGGUGGUAAACUUCUUUUGUAUAGGGAUAAACCUACUCUCGUGAGAGUAGCUGAAGGUACUAUACGAAUAAGCACCGGCUAACUCCGUG
rnacentral:rRNA from 1 species